UCCAGGAGGGAGUCUUCAUUGACAACACUGAAACCUUUUUAGGUUCAUAGAAGAUGAUUCUGUUAGGAGCUUUGUUGAUGAAUUUGUAAAAUAUUUCUCCUAAACUCAGGUCAUGAUGGGAGGUCUCUCUGGAUGGUCUGGAUCCAUGCUAGCUCUCCUCUUGGUCUUCUCCAUGCAGACUGGGGUAAAUAAAGUUAACUACUUAUGCUGUGUAAAUAACUGUUGACCCAUAGAUUGAGUCUCAUCAUUUCUUGUUUUUCUUUAUUUUUAAUAAUAGAGUGGAUCAGGAAACACAGGUAAAGAAGUCUUUUUUAUUUAUUUUUUUCCUUUUUACACUAAUAAACUCUUUAAUAUUGUUUUGUUCUUCUCUUGGCAGAUGCACCAGCUGACUGCUCAUCCAUUCAGAAUGGAGCCAGUGGGGUUUACAGCAUCCAACCUCAAGGAUUUAGGUACAGCUUUCAGGCUUACUGUGAGAUGGGUGCAAAUGGAAUCUGGACGGUGAUCCAGAAGCGUACUGGAGGAGCAGUGGCCUUCGACAGGGAAUGGGCAGCAUAUAAGAAUGGAUUUGGAUUUGCAUCAUGGGAUCACUGGCUCGGUCUGGAGAAGAUUUCUGCAAUGACCAAAUCCAAGAGGUGGAAACUGAGAGUGGACCUGUGGGACUUUGAAGGUGGCAGUGCUUAUGCUGAGUAUGAAGACUUCAGGGUCGGAGAUGAGAGCUCAAAUUACAGACUGAGUGUUGGCAGAUACAG